rnacentral:rRNA from 1 species
GACGAACGCUGGCGGCGUGCCUAAUACAUGCAAGUUGAGCGCACGAGCGAGGUGCUUGUUCCUACUGUGUGAGCAGCGGACGGGUGAGUAACACGUGGAUAAUCUACCUUUAAGACUGGGACAACUUCUGGAAACGAUAGCUAAUACCGCAUAAAAUCUUUAACCACAUGGUUUAAGAUUGAAAGAUGCAAUUGCAUCACUUUAUAGUGAUACCGCGUUGUAUUAGCUAGUUGGGGAUGUAAAGGCUCACCCAGGCCAUCAAACCUUAGCCGACUGGGAGGGUGAUCCGCCAAAAUGGGACCGAGAAAAGGCCCAAAAUCCCAAGGGAGGGAGCAGUAGGGAAUCUUCGGGAAUGGACGAAAGGCUGAACGAGGAACGCCGCGUGAGUGGAGAAGGGUGUCGGGACGGAAAACUCCGUUGGUAGGGAAGAACGUUGGUGGGAGUGGAAAGCGCAUAAAGUGACGGUAACUACUCAGAAAGGGACGGCUAACUACGUG